CCCCGCCCCCGCCCGCCUCCGGAACGGCCGGAGACUUGGGCCAGCCGGACGCCCCUUCUGGCAUACUCCUGGGGCAAGCGCGAGCGCACACUCCCCUUUCCUCGCUGGCGCACCCGCUCCCCUCGCUCUUCUUAGAUCGCCCUCUCGUUCUCUCGCUCUCCACGGACUCCCUUCGGGUGCUGCGCUCGCUCUCACCUGCUCUAAAGCACCCUCCGCUCUCGGACGCUCCCAAUUCCGCGCUCCUGCUCGACGGCGGGACAGUCGCAGCCUCGGCAGGCAGCUUGCUCUCGCCGCUGCGGCUUCAACCCAGCCCCCUCCCUCGCUACGGCUCGGGCGCUCUUGACUCCCGACCCUCGCCUCUGAGCCCGAGGACGGCGAUCAGACCAUGGUGACAGCGCUGCUCCGUCGCUGCGCUCGCUGAGGCCAUGCCGGGUUCCCGACGCGUCCGUCCGCGCCUAAGGGCGCUGCUGCUGCUACCGCCGCUGCUGCUGCUCCGAAGCGGCCACGCGAGCGACCUGACCGUGGCCGUGGUGCUGCCGCUGACCAACACCUCGUACCCGUGGUCUUGGGCGCGUGUAGGGCCGGCGGUGGAACUGGCUCUCGGGAGGGUGAAGGCUCGGCCGGACUUGCUGCCGGGUUGGACGGUCCGUAUGGUGCUGGGCAGCAGCGAGAACGCGGCGGGCGUCUGCUCCGACACCGCUGCACCGCUGGCCGCGGUGGAUCUCAAGUGGGAGCACAGCCCCGCGGUGUUCCUGGGCCCCGGCUGCGUAUACUCUGCUGCCCCGGUGGGACGCUUCACCGCGCACUGGCGGGUGCCGCUGCUGACGGCUGGCGCCCCGGCUCUGGGCAUCGGGGUGAAGGAUGAGUACGCGUUAACCACCCGCACAGGACCCAGCCAUGUCAAGCUGGGCGACUUCGUGACGGCGCUGCAUCGACGGCUGGGCUGGGAGCACCAGGCGCUUGUGCUCUAUGCAGAUCGGCUGGGCGACGACCGGCCGUGCUUCUUCAUAGUGGAGGGGCUGUACAUGCGGGUGCGUGAGCGACUCAACAUCACAGUAAAUCACCAGGAGUUCGUCGAGGGCGACCCGGACCACUACACCAAGCUACUGCGGACCGUGCAGCGCAAGGGCAGAGUUAUCUACAUCUGCAGUUCUCCGGAUGCCUUCAGGAAUCUGAUGCUUUUGGCCCUGGAUGCUGGCCUGACUGGGGAGGACUAUGUUUUCUUCCACCUGGAUGUGUUUGGGCAAAGCCUUCAGGGUGCUCAGGGCCCUGUUCCCAGGAAGCCCUGGGAAAGAGACGAUGGGCAGGAUAGGAGAGCCCGCCAGGCCUUUCAGGCUGCCAAAAUUAUUACUUACAAAGAACCCGAUAAUCCUGAGUACUUGGAAUUCCUGAAGCAGCUAAAACUCUUGGCUGACAAGAAAUUCAACUUCACCAUGGAGGAUGGCCUGAAAAAUAUCAUCCCAGCAUCCUUCCAUGACGGGCUCCUGCUCUAUGUCCAGGCAGUGACAGAGACUCUGGCACAGGGGGGCACUGUCACUGAUGGAGAGAACAUCACUCAGCGGAUGUGGAACCGAAGCUUCCAAGGUGUGACAGGAUACCUGAAAAUUGAUAGAAAUGGAGAUCGGGACACUGAUUUCUCCCUCUGGGAUAUGGACCCCGAGACAGGUGCCUUCAGGGUUGUCCUGAACUUUAAUGGUACUUCCCAGGAGCUGAUGGCUGUGUCAGAACACAGAUUAUACUGGCCUCUGGGAUACCCACCUCCUGACAUCCCUAAAUGUGGCUUUGACAAUGAGGACCCAGCCUGCAACCAAGACCACUUUUCCACACUGGAGGUUCUGGCUUUGGUGGGCAGCCUCUCUCUGGUUAGCUUUCUGAUCGUGUCUUUCUUCAUAUACAGGAAGAUGCAGCUGGAAAAGGAGCUGGUCUCAGAGUUGUGGCGGGUGCGCUGGGAGGACUUGCAGCCCAGCAGCCUGGAGAGGCACCUUCGGAGCGCUGGCAGUCGGCUGACCCUGAGUGGGCGAGGCUCCAAUUAUGGCUCCCUGCUAACCACGGAGGGCCAGUUCCAAGUCUUUGCCAAGACAGCAUACUAUAAGGGCAACCUCGUGGCUGUGAAACGUGUGAACCGGAAACGCAUUGAGUUGACACGAAAAGUCCUGUUUGAACUUAAACAUAUGCGGGAUGUGCAGAAUGAGCACUUGACCAGAUUUGUGGGAGCUUGUACCGACCCUCCCAACAUCUGUAUCCUCACAGAGUACUGUCCCCGUGGGAGCCUACAGGGGGGUCUGACUCUUGCUGCCCCAGCAGGACAUUCUAGAGAAUGAGAGUAUUACCCUGGACUGGAUGUUUCGGUACUCACUCACCAAUGACAUUGUCAAGGGAAUGCUCUUUCUACACAACGGGGCCAUUGGUUCCCAUGGGAACCUCAAGUCAUCCAACUGCGUGGUAGAUGGACGUUUUGUGUUAAAGAUCACAGACUAUGGGCUCGAGAGCUUCAGAGACCCGGAGCCAGAGCAAGGACACACCCUCUUUGCCAAAAAACUGUGGACUGCACCUGAGCUCCUGCGAAUGGCUUCCCCACCUGCCCGUGGCUCCCAAGCUGGGGAUGUCUACAGUUUUGGUAUCAUCCUUCAGGAAAUUGCCCUAAGAAGUGGGGUCUUCUAUGUGGAAGGUUUGGACCUCAGCCCAAAAGAGAUCAUUGAGCGUGUGACUCGGGGCGAGCAGCCCCCAUUCCGACCUUCCAUGGAUCUGCAGAGCCACCUGGAGGAACUGGGGCAGCUGAUGCAGAGGUGCUGGGCAGAGGAUCCUCAGGAGCGGCCACCCUUUCAACAGAUCCGCCUGGCGCUGCGCAAGUUCAACAAGGAGAACAGCAGCAACAUCCUGGACAACCUGCUGUCACGCAUGGAACAGUACGCCAACAACCUGGAGGAACUGGUAGAGGAGAGAACACAGGCUUAUCUGGAGGAGAAGCGCAAAGCUGAGGCCCUGCUUUACCAGAUUCUGCCUCACUCUGUGGCUGAGCAGCUGAAGAGAGGCGAGACAGUCCAGGCUGAGGCAUUUGAUAGUGUUACUAUCUAUUUCAGUGAUAUCGUGGGCUUUACAGCUCUUUCAGCAGAGAGCACACCCAUGCAGGUGGUCACCCUGCUCAAUGAUCUGUACACCUGUUUUGAUGCUGUCAUAGACAACUUUGAUGUGUACAAGGUAGAGACCAUUGGUGAUGCUUACAUGGUGGUAUCAGGGCUCCCAGUGAGGAAUGGACAGCUCCAUGCCCGAGAGGUAGCCCGAAUGGCACUUGCACUGCUCGAUGCUGUACGCUCCUUCCGCAUCCGCCAUAGGCCCCAGGAACAGCUGCGCUUGCGCAUUGGAAUUCACACAGGUCCCGUGUGUGCUGGUGUGGUAGGGCUAAAGAUGCCCCGAUACUGCCUCUUUGGAGACACAGUCAACACAGCUUCAAGAAUGGAGUCUAAUGGGGAAGCCCUCAGGAUCCACUUGUCUUCGGAGACCAAGGCUGUGCUGGAAGAGUUCGAUGGUUUUGAGCUGGAGCUCCGAGGUGACGUGGAAAUGAAGGGCAAAGGCAAGGUUCGAACCUAUUGGCUCCUCGGGGAGCGGGGAUGCAGCACUCGAGGCUGACCUACUGCCCUGCUAUUCCUUGUCACCUCCCCUCCCUGUGCCAGCAAUGACACGGGUGUCCAACUUCCGCCUCUCCCACAGCAGCUCAGCCACUGUGGAAAGAUUAGGGACCUAACCAGCGCAGUCAUCAGAUGUGACCUCUGAGAGAGGAUGGAGAUGGUGGGGACUGGAGGGGGACUCCUAAGUUUAUAGGGCUGACUGAAAUACCCAGUCACUCCCGUAGCACAUGCCCCGCCCCCCCCCCGCCCCCCCACUCAGCUGCCUAGCAGACAGUGAUUCCUUCUGCCGCCCUCAACUUAGCUCCACUGUGACUUAGAGGGAGGGAAAUUGCCACCUGAAGGAAAGAGAAAAGAGAUUCUCGGGGUUUGCAGGAGGCAGGCAGUCCUGUGUCACAAAUACUCCCCUCACUCCCAGUCCACCACCUGCCCCACCGACUUCCCUUCCCACACAGUGCACUGAGGAGAAGAGAGGCAUGGGGUUGCCUUGCUUCUCCUAUGAGCAAAACCCAUUAAAGUCUUUAUUCCUGUGA